rnacentral:SRP_RNA from 1 species
GCUGGGCACGGUGGCGCGUGCCUGCAGUCCCAGCUACUCGGGAGGCUGAGGUGGGAGGAUUGCUUGAGCCCAGGAGUUCUGGGCUGUAGUGUGCUAUGACAAUCCAGUGUCCACACUAAGUUCGGCAUCAAUAUGGUGACCUCCUGGGAGCGGGGAACCUUCAGGUUGCCUGAGAAGGGGUGAACCAGCACAGGUUGGAAACGGAGCAGGCCAAAACUCCUGUGCUGAUCAGUAGUGGGAUCGUGCCUGUGAAUGGCCACUGCACUCCAGCCUGGGCUACAUAGUGAGACCCUGUCUCU